GAUGAACGCUCGGCGUGCCUAAUACAUGCAAGUCGAGCGAACAGACGAGGAGCUUGCUCCUCUGACGUUAGCGGCGGACGGGUGAGUAACACGUGGAUAACCUACCUAUAAGACUGGGAUAACUUCGGGAAACCGGAGCUAAUACCGGAUAAUAUAUUGAACCGCAUGGUUCAAUAGUGAAAGACGGUUUUGCUGUCACUUAUAGAUGGAUCCGCGCCGCAUUAGCUAGUUGGUAAGGUAACGGCUUACCAAGGCAACGAUGCGUAGCCGACCUGAGAGGGUGAUCGGCCACACUGGAACUGAGACACGGUCCAGACUCCUACGGGAGGCAGCAGUAGGGAAUCUUCCGCAAUGGGCGAAAGCCUGACGGAGCAACGCCGCGUGAGUGAUGAAGGUCUUCGGAUCGUAAAACUCUGUUAUUAGGGAAGAACAAAUGUGUAAGUAACUAUGCACGUCUUGACGGUACCUAAUCAGAAAGCCACGGCUAACUACGUG
rnacentral:rRNA from 1 species